rnacentral:misc_RNA from 1 species
AACGCACGAGACCUGCGGACCUGCGGAAGGAUCAUUAAUGUUACCUCAUCCAAACUUGCUGUCAGAGGAGGGAAGGGGGUUCUUCUCUCUCUCUCUUCUCUGGCAACAUAGCACCUGUGAACAAGGUUAAAGUCCUUAACAGCAUUCUCAAAACAGAUUUGCUGUUAAAGCACCUUUUUUUUUUUCCACUGUCUAAAAUUUAAAUGAGUUACUUUUUUCUAAAAAGUGACGAGAAAAAAA